ACAACACAAAGUUCCAGCCUGGCACAGGGAGAAAUUAUGCUCAGUUUCUUUGGGGUUGGGUUGCUGAAUUGCAUCUGAAGCUGAGAAAUCUGAUCUUUGGCAGAAAGGAGGGGGAGAUGAAUUCAAAACUUGUGCCUUAUUAUCCAAUCAAGCUUCAAUCGUAAAAGAUUCUGCAGAGUAAAGCUUGAGCCACCAUCACUAGAACAAAAGGAUGGAGGCUGAAACAAUCACAUUAACAUCUAUCAAAUCCUUGGACAAAAAUUGACUUUCUGACACAAAGCUGCACAGACUGUGAAAUAGAAAAUCGUAGGGAUGAGGAAGGAUCCAUCAUUUUCUUCUAUCUCCUCCUCAGAGUGCCUGGAUGGAGGUGAGGGAAAUGACUGUAAUAAAUGGAAUGCAAGAUGCUAUGAAAAGGAAUUUGAUCUUAUUACACAAAAUCUUUGGACCUGCUGCAGUUCAUUAAUGGAUAAGUGGAGAACCCCCUAUCUGUAUCUAUCUGUAUUCUCCUGUGUUGGAAGUGUUGGUUGCUUUGUUCUAGACAGGGAUUCAGCCUUCUCCACAGACAUUUCCACCAUGAGCCUUUCCCAAGGGCUGCAGUCCUUCCAAAAUUGCUCCAGAAUGAGAUUCCAUGAGAUCCUCGAGUUGGACCUGAAUCCCAUCGGACACAGGGAUGGUUUUUGGCAGCUUCUCUCAGAAAGCCAACCCUGGAGCCCCCCAAACCCAGCCCAGCCCAGGCACCACCUUGUGCUGCUGUCAGACCUCGUGCCCUGCUCCUUCACCCUCUGCCGUUUGCUGAAUGUGGCAGCUCAGAGUGUUUGCAUGUCCUCCUCACUUCUUGCUUUGUUUCCCAUCAAAUAUUUACAGCUUGAGGAAAGAAAAUUUGCUAUAAACAAGCACACAAAACCAAAGCUGGUUAAAAAAUACAUCUAAUCCCAGGCAGUGUGGGCCAGAGCCUGACAAUCGAUUUAGCCUCCAAUGCCUCUGGCAGCAGAUUUGAAAUGUCAGAGUGCAAACACCAUUAAGCAUUAAUUUGGGUGCCUGCUGCAGCUCCCCAAACUACAGAGAAUUUCGCACCCCCUUGGCUGCUUUAGUUUCUUGACCUGUUGAACCUCAAAAGACAGGUGUAAUGUGCACACGUGGAAGAGUUCUUUGAGAUUCUAAAGGGCUGAAAUGUUUUGAGAUCCCUUGAGAGGGGUGUGUAGAUUGCUGAUAUUCAUGAGCAAUGAUGAAAGCAAAGAAAUAAUACUU